rnacentral:Y_RNA from 1 species
GGCUGGUCUGAGUGCAGUGGUGUUUACAACUAAUUAAUCACAACCAGUUACGGAUCUCUUUGUUCUUUCUCUUCCUGCUUCACUUGACUAGCCUAAA